AUGCACGCUGGCGGCGUGCCUAAUACAUGCAGGUCGAGCGAACAGACGAGGAGCUUGCUCCUCUGACGUUAGCGGCGGACGGGUGAGUAACACGUGGAUAACCUACCUAUAAGACUGGGAUAACUUCGGGAAACCGGAGCUAAUACCGGAUAAUAUAUUGAACCGCAUGGUUCAAUAGUGAAAGACGGUUUUGCUGUCACUUAUAGAUGGAUCCGCGCCGCAUUAGCUAGUUGGUAAGGUAACGGCUUACCAAGGCAACGAUGCGUAGCCGACCUGAGAGGGUGAUCGGCCACACUGGAACUGAGACACGGUCCAGACUCCUACGGGAGGCAGCAGUAGGGAAUCUUCCGCAAUGGGCGAAAGCCUGACGGAGCAACGCCGCGUGAGUGGUGAAGGUCUUCGGAUCGUAAAACUCUGUUAUUAGGGAAGAACAAAUGUGUAAGUAACUAUGCACGUCUUGACGGUACCUAAUCAGAAAGCCACGGCUAACUACGUG
rnacentral:rRNA from 1 species